UUCAGCAGCCCGCGGUAAUACGGAGGGUGCGAGCGUUAAUCGGAAUUACUGGGCGUAAAGCGCACGCAGGCGGUCUGUUAAGCUAGAUGUGAAAGCCCCGCGCUCAACGUGGGAGGGUCAUUUAGAACUGGCAGACUAGAGUCUUGGAGAGGGGAGUGGAAUUCCAGGUGUAGCGGUGAAAUGCGUAGAGAUCUGGAGGAACAUCAAUGGCGAAGGCAACUCCCUGGCCAAAGACUGACGCUCAUGUGCGAAAGUGUGGGUAGCGAACAGGAUUAGAUACCCUGGUAGUCCACACCGUAAACGCUGUCUACUAGCUGUUUGUGGAUUUAAUCCGUGAGUAGCGAAGCUAACGCGAUAAGUAGACCGCCUGGGGAGUACGGCCGCAAGGUUAAAACUCAAAGGAAUUGACGG
rnacentral:rRNA from 1 species